rnacentral:rRNA from 1 species
GAAAUUACGCCUUCAUGAAGCUGGAAUUGCUAGUAAUGGCAGGUCAGCAUACUGCCGUGAAUACGUUCCCGGGCCUUGUACACACCGCCCGUCACACCAUGAGAGUUGGGAAUACCCGAAGCCUGUGAGCUAACUUAUAGAGGCAGCAGUCGAAGGUAGAAUCAAUGAUUGGGGUGAAGUCGUAACAAGGUAGC